rnacentral:piRNA from 1 species
UGAGAGCCCAUUAUUGAGGUACGUCCUUACU